AGUGGCGGACGGGUGAGUAACACGUGAGAAUUUACCUUUAGGAGGGGGAUAACAAUCGGAAACGAAUGCUAAUACCCCAUAUGCUUUUGAGUGAAAUGGAUUUAUUCGCCUAAAGAGAAGCUCGCGGCUGAUUAGCUUGUUGGUGAGGUAAAAGCUUACCAAGGCGACGAUCAGUAUCUGGUUUGAGAGGACGAUCAGACACACUGGAACUGAGACACGGUCCAGACUCCUACGGGAGGCAGCAGUGGGGAAUUUUCCGCAAUGGGCGAAAGCCUGACGGAGCAAUACCGCGUGAGGGAAGACUGCCUAUGGGUUGUAAACCUCUUUUUUCAGGGAGGAAAAAAAUGACGUGUACCUGAAGAAUAAGCAUCGGCUAACUCCGUGCCAGCAGCCGCGGUAAGACGGAGGAUGCAAGUGUUAUCCGGAAUCACUGGGCGUAAAGCGUCUGUAGGUGGUUUAAUAAGUCAACUGUUAAAUCUUGAGGCUCAACUUCAAAAUCGCAGUCGAAACUAUUAGACUCGAGUAUAGUAGAGGUAAAGGGAAUUUCCAGUGGAGCGGUGAAAUGCGUAGAUAUUGGAAAGAACACCGAUGGCGAAGGCACUUUACUGGGCUAUUACUAACGCUCAGAGACGAAAGCUAGGGUAGCAAAUGGGAUUAGAUACCCCAGUAGUCCUAGCUGUAAACUAUGGAUACUAGA
rnacentral:rRNA from 1 species